AUUGAACGCUGGCGGCAUGCUUUACACAUGCAAGUCGAACGGUAACAGGGUGCUUGCACCGCUGACGAGUGGCGAACGGGUGAGUAAUGCGUCGGAACGUGCCGAGUAGUGGGGGAUAACGCAGCGAAGGUUGUGCUAAUACCGCAUACGUACUGAGGUAGAAAGUGGGGGACCUUCGGGCCUCACGCUAUUCGAGCGGCCGACGUCUGAUUAGCUAGUAGGUGAGGUAAAGGCUCACCUAGGCGACGAUCAGUAGCGGGUCUGAGAGGAUGAUCCGCCACACUGGGACUGAGACACGGCCCAGACUCCUACGGGAGGCAGCAGUGGGGAGUUUUGGACAAUGGGCGAAAGCCUGAUCCAGCCAUGCCGCGUGUCUGAAGAAGGCCUUCGGGUUGUAAAGGACUUUUGUCGGGGAGGAAAUCCCCAGCGUUAAUACCGCUGGGGGAUGACAGUACCUGAAGAAUAAGCACCGGCUAACUACGUGCCAGCCGCCGCCGUAAUAC
rnacentral:rRNA from 1 species